ACUCUAUUCUGUGACAACCAGUCAGCCAUUCACAUUGCCAAUAAUCCCAUUUUUCAUGAAAGAACAAAACACAUUGAAGUGGACUGCCACCUUGUUCGUGAAAAGCAUUUGUCUGGUCUCAUUCAUCUUAUGCCAGUUCGUUCCAAAGAUCAACUUGCUAAUUUUCUUACCAAAGCUCUGCCACCGGGUCCUUUUCUUGCUAAUGUUUCCAAGGUAGGAUUGUUAGAUUUACACAAUUCUAGCUUGCAGGGGGUGUUACCUAGAUUAUUUCUUUAUCAAUAAUAGGCUUAUCAUUGUAAUUAUUUUUUAGUGAGAAUACAUAAAGAGUACAUAGUAUAUAAGGUGUAAUAACUCAACAAAUAUUUUAUAAGGAGAUUAUUCAUUCUCUUCAACAAUGAGAAGAACUUAUCUUUCUCCCUCUCUUAAUCCCUUUUCGUUCAUCAAACCAUCAACAUCACAGCUUGAACAGCUUAGGGCAUGAGAUUUUCUUCAAUUUUUCUUUGGAUUU